AGAGUUUGAUCCUGGCUCAGGACGAACGCUGGCGGCGUGCUUAACACAUGCAAGUCGAACGGUGAUCCAUUUCGGUGGUGAUCAGUGGCGAACGGGUGAGUAACACGUGAGCAACCUGCCCCUGGCUCUGGGACAACCACUGGAAACGGUGGCUAAUACCGGAUACGACCCGCCAUCGCAUGGUGUGUGGGUGGAAAGUUUUUCGGCUGGGGAUGGGCUCGCGGCCUAUCAGCUUGUUGGUGGGGUGAUGGCCUACCAAGGCGACGACGGGUAGCCGGCCUGAGAGGGCGAUCGGCCACACUGGGACUGAGACACGGCCCAGACUCCUACGGGAGGCAGCAGUGGGGAAUAUUGCACAAUGGGCGAAAGCCUGAUGCAGCGACGCCGCGUGAGGGAUGACGGCCUUCGGGUUGUAAACCUCUUUCAGCUCCGAAGAAGCGAGAGUGACGGUAGGAGCAGAAGAAGCACCGGCUAACUACGUG
rnacentral:rRNA from 1 species